GCUCUAUGCCUCGUGCAGCACGUGCAGAGGACACACUGCGGCAGACAACGUGACACACCCGCCCUCAUCGUUAGAAGUGGAAAAUGAGGAUGCUUUCAAAUGUCGGAUGGAUAAUACAUAUCGAUAAUGAUACGCUGAAAGUGUCCCUGGUAGUAAGGUCAAGCAGAGGGUAACACUCUUUUCGCUUGGAGUCUCCUGCUGACCCUCGUACUGGACAUGAACUUCUUCCAUUCAUGCGUUUUACAGAAACAGAUCAAUAUCAACUUCUCCAUGGCAACGUAAACUUGUUACAAAUUUAUAGAAACAACCACCAAGCGAGAAAAGGAGAAUCGCGGUCGAUUGAGGUCGCCCCACUACAACAGCACUACGGAAUGCAUGACGUUACUACAGUUGUAUAGAAAAAACAAGUGCGCAGCCGCAGUGGCGAUAUUAUCAUAACUCAAGGACCUCACCUAAGAUUCACCCCGAGUGACCGCCAGGAAACUUUUUUUUUCAGAUACGUUAUGUGCAGUAUUGAUGGGAACAGGCAUGCGGAACCCUAAGGAUGAAAAAAUCGUUAAAAAUCUUCAAACACCGAGCAAUACUGCAGCUUAUCAUUGGGAGUGUUUUAAUUUUGUUCAGAUGAAUGAAAAAUACCAUUACAUGCCAUUAAAUUGUAAGUGGUUCUUCUCAACCGUAACGAUGACUUCAUAUCGUGGGGAUCAAAUGGAGAAAAAUAUCUCUAUUACGUAAACAAAAGCAGUUUGAAUUCCAUUAUUUGACUUCGAUAGACUGUUAAAACUGAGACAAGUUCAAACAUUUGAUUAACGUGCAGAAUCUCAAUGCAUCGACAAGUAUGUCCCUGUUUUGUCCCACAUAUAGGCCGAUUCCAAGCUUCAACUGUUGCCAUUUAAGUGACAAAAAUCGGAGAAAGAGAGAGAGAGAGAGAUUGUAUGAUAUGAAAUAUAUAUGAAAAUGAUAUACGUAUGAUAUAGUAUGCAAUACAUGUGCAGAUGAUUUGUGGCACUUUAUCUAAAUCUGUUAAUGCCUCUGAGUGAAAUUUUUUUCGAAUAGGAUGUAAAAGAAUACAAUACAUUGUAUACUAUAUAUAAAUAUAAUUACGACAUACGAAACCGUGCACAUAUGAACUGGAUUAAUUGAUUGAAUAUUGUUUAACGUCCCUCUCGAGAGAAAAUUUCACUCAUAUGGAGACGUCACCACUGCCGGUGAAGGGCUGCAAAAUUUAGGCCUAUGCUCGGCGCUUAUGGCCAUUGAGCAGGGAGAGAUCUUUAUCGUGCCACACCUGCUGUGACACAGGACCUCGGUUUUUGCGGUCUCAUCCGAAGGACCGCUUCGGUCAUGUAGUCGCCUCUUACCACAAGCAAGGGGUACUGAGGACCUAUUCUAACCCGGAUCUCCACGGCAUCAUAUGAACUGGAAUUGAUAAAUACUUUGCAAUUAGAUUUUUCACCAUAUGAUAUAUCAAAACGAAACUUCCAAUUGAUAGUUACAAAUGAAUCCUAAUACAUUUCUACAGGUACAUGAGUAGGUCUGAUCUUGUUAGGACAUACAAUAUUCAUGUAACUUCAAUCGGAUCACUCGUCCCUAAAAUGUAGGCCAAACCAGUCCUCCAGAACAUGAUUACAGCAUGCGUCCUUAGAUACAACAUCCACAAGUAAACUUUUGUCCUCCACCAACGAAAUACAGGUAAAAUCUAGCAUAUAAAAGAUAUAUGGAAAGGUGCAUCUUUUAGAAACAUCACCCGUGGAAGUUUGAUGCAGGGGGACCUUAAAAUCAUGGAGCACCUCUGUGUUUUACCUGCUUAUUUAUUCAGGCACUGUAACCCAGGAUCUGGUGUGUAUCCUGUACGUUUUGGUCUUUAGGUAUUACAUAUCAUUAUACUUUGACAUGGCAAUCGCGCGAAAAAGAGCGCCAAAAGUUCAUUCAUCCGAUAAAAUGUAGGUCACAGGGGCAGUACCUGGGACGACAUCCCUGCUAGUUUUUUUCCCCAGGUGGUAUCUUUAAUUCAAACAUGCUAACGGAUAAGAUCGAAAGAGGAAAGAAAGUAAUACAAAUUUAUAUACCAUCCCCAAAAAUAUCGACCCCUCUCAUUGAUUCAAAUGUACAUCAAUUUCAGUAAUUGAAAUGUAUGUCAUUAUCUUCAUCAGAAUGCUUGUUUGACGAACACGUGUAUCCUUUGAAACAAAGGAAGCGAGAAUAAAAGACUUAUUCAUCUGUACAGAACGGAUUCUUCAAUUAUAAAGACGGGAGGAUGGUAUGAUGAUAAUGAAGAAUGAUGAACUAACACUUAUUUAGAAGUAUAAAAAUUCACUUUUGUGUGUAACUUUACACAAUAUCAAAUAUGGCAUGAUUAUACAUACUGGUCUGGAGGUUAUAAAACUUGUACCGUACUUAUACUCAGUCAUGUUUGUUUUGAGUACAACUCUGAGCAAGCUCCAAGCUUACUCGAAAAAUCCUGAGCUUGUACUCCAUUUCAGUAGGAGAAUGAUUUUAUGAAAGUUUUAUAAACUUCACUUUUGAGAAUGAGUACGAUUUAGAGCACGGAAUUUGAGUUUGAGUAUGAAAACGUGCUCAAAAAAGGUUUUAUAACCCCCAGGCCAGGACUGUAAUAUGAAUUUUGUAUUUCAUUACUGCCUAAAACCUCCAACUGUUACACGCACCUGUAUUAAUAAAAUGCGUUU